UCCAUGAUGCUAGAGUCAACACGAGGUCAGAAGUUUUGCGAGAAGGAAACUAUCCAGACGUUGGCAACAUUAUUUGAUAGCUGGCCUGGGAUGGACAGCGACAUCUCAUCGUGCAACAAGGAAUGUGUCUUGCUAUUUUGUUUUUCAUUUUAUGCUCUGGUGAAACGGUAACGAAUUGGUCAAGCCGAUUUGCGCGGUGAGUAUUGUCCGUUACAUGUUUUAA
rnacentral:rRNA from 1 species